AAAAUUAUGCACUUCAUUGAUUUUAUGUAACUUAGCAGAGGCUACAUGUAAUUGAUUAACUUUUUGCAGUACUGCACUGUAUUUUUUACUUUUGCUGGAGUACUAUUGUUAUUAUUAGCAUCGCUAUGAUUUCUGAACACGUUUUCUACCUUCUGUCAACAGAUUUUACUGAUGGAAAAAAACACUUAACCACAAACACCAGAAACAGGCACACAGUGAGACAUCCUGUUUGAACACCAGCUUUGUUGUUCUAAUGUUAUUUUCAGAUUUUCCAUCUGCUGACAUGACUAUAUAAAAUUAUCACUGGGAUGUUUUUGGCCUUGUUCAAACACAUAAACACGACCUCCUGCAAAUGUUGGUGUCAUAAGAUUAUUUAUUUAUUUUUUUAGUUUUUCUUCUGCCUGAAUGUAUAUUUUGUACACAUGCUAGGUUUUAGUCUUUGAAAUUCCAGAAUUUGUACAUUAUUUUAUAUUUUUGCUUGACUGAUUACACAUUUUAAAAAUAUUUAAUCAAGUGUUAUGGUCAGUUUUUCAGCACUACCUACUUGUGUGAAAAUAUGUAGCAGGAGUGUUGCUCUUUCCUGAGUAAAAUCUUUGGUACCUGGCCUUGGAGGACGUUACAUGGGGUCUGCGCAGGCGCAAAGAAACGAGACUCUGUGUUUCUGCAGAGCUCCUGUCCUCAGCUUUAGCGCUGCAGGAGACAUCAGGACGGACGUGAGGACAGAGGACCAGCUGGCGCUCGGCUCCUUCUGCAAACACAGGGAACAUUCCUGCAUUUCUCUCGCCGCUCUGCGAUGUGAUGCUCGGUUUACUUCCUGCUCCACUUCCUGUCUGCGUACCUGC